rnacentral:rRNA from 1 species
GGGAUAUUGGACAAUGGGGGGAACCCUGAUCCAGCGACGCCGCGUGAGUGAAGAAGUAUCUCGGUAUGUAAAGCUCUAUCAGCAGGGAAGAAAGAAAUGACGGUACCUGAGUAAGAAGCCCCGGCUAACUACGUGCCCGCAGCCGCGGUAAUACGUAGGGGGCAAGCGUUAUCCGGAUUUACUGGGUGUAAAGGGAGCGUAGACGGUGAUGCAAGUCAGAAGUGAAAGCCCGGGGCUCAACUCCGGGACUGCUUUUGAAACUGUGUAACUGGAGUGCAGGAGAGGUAAGCGGAAUUCCUAGUGUAGCGGUGAAAUGCGUAGAUAUUAGGAGGAACACCAGUGGCGAAGGCGGCUUCCUGGACUGUAACUGACGUUGAGGCUCGAAAGCGUGGGGAGCAAACA